rnacentral:tRNA from 1 species
GCGGAGGUGCCCGAGCUAGGUCAAAGGGGGCGGACUGAGGCUCCGCUGGCGUAGGCCUGCGUGGGUUCGAGUCCCACCCUCCGCA